ACCUCCACCUACAUCCACACCUCCUCCUGGUUCCACCUCCAUCACUCUUCCUCCAUCACUCUCUCCUCCUGUUCUCUCUGUGUUGUCAUGUGUUGGAUCAGUCUGUGUUGUGGUUCUACUGGUGUUUCUGGUUCUGCUGGUGAGACGAUGUGUUCACAGGAAACCUGAAGAUCAAGAUGAACCUGUAGAAGAUGACAUCACGUAUGGUGACAUCCAAAUAUCAAUCAAACGAACCAGAGACUUUAAACCACAGCCAGAGACCAUCUACUCUUCAGUGAAGUAGUCCACCAGUCCAACCACAGACGUCCAGCUGCUGGUCUCUAACUGGCCCCCAGCACCUGAGACAAGAGGACAUCCACAUGUAAAUUUUUCACUGAUUUAGACUAAAAUGAUUCAAAACUUCAAAAACGAUAUGAGGAUAUAUUUUUAACUGAAAAUUUAAAUGUGUAUGAAUAUGUUAAUGUGUUUCAUGGCCAGAGUAGCUUCACUGUUUAUGUUUAAAGUGUGACUCAAGCACCUUGUUCUUGUUCCUUCAGCUACUACUUAAUUUCUGUGCAUGAAUAAUAAAUCUUUGCUCUCACUUAUUUUCCUCGUGUGGUUUAAAAGGAAAUUAGUCAUAUAAAGUCUGCUGCCAUCUACUGGUAAAACUGAGCAAUACAAUAGAGCUCGAGCCAGAUAUCACAAUUAUUAAUGAUAUUGAUAGAGAGAAAGACACAUUUACAUUCCAGUUCUAAAAAAUAUUUCAGAAUAUUUGCAGUCUGGCACAGCACUAAGCAAAGCAGCUGCUUUUCACAUGACAAUACUUUGACAGUGUGACAUUUUUCAAUUGACUCCUGAAGUCAUUUGUGUUUAACUGCUUUUUAUCAAAAUAAUGGUUCCCAGAGUGGCAGCAGGGGCGUCUAACAAAGUCAUGAAGGCAUUAAGGGGCUUCCACCAAAUUAUACAACAUGUCUAUAACUAUAUGUAGAUUAUCAGAGCUCCAUUGUAGUUUUAGGUCAUGAUUCUGUCUUGCGAUACAAAGACUAAUUGUUUCUUAUAUGGUGUACUUUUUCUGAAUACAUUGAAUUUUAGCUCUGCAAAUAAUAAAUCACUCUCCAAAUUAAUCUCCACUGAAGAAAAUAGAAAAAUGUUCUGUAUUUCCUGUUCUUGCUCUGCUAAGAAUGACCAGGACCAA